AACCCUGUGGUUCUUCAGUGUGAGUUCUGGAAGCUGAAGGAUGUUUACCAAGCUGCUGGUGGGAUGUGCUCGGCCUCCCAGGCCUGCCAUCUGGUUGCCACGUGAUUACCAGGCCCCUGUGGGCCCUAAGAGCCGUGCUUUCUUUCCAGAACAGUCUCCUCACCUCAACUACUUAAUGUGAAAUCUUUAUAACGCUGUGACAGCACCGUGGUAUGAGUCAGCACCGUGCUGCUUACACUCCACUGAAUGAAGGGAGAUGGAGGCGUAAUUUCUUUAUCACUGAAACCUGCUUUUGACAAAAUCUUAGAGUUUGGCUCCUCCUCGUAGAUAUACACGUCUAAUUGGUUGAAAGCAAGCACCAAAGCUUCAUGUGAAGAUCGGAGGCACGCCACUAUGCUGAUAUGCCCAAGUGCAUGCACCAGGAGCAUAAGAGCAGCAGUGCUCUAGUUAAUUAUGGACAGCUCCUUUAAAAGUCUCUGAGAUGUGAGCAUUUUUUGGGGGGGAGGGAGGAAACGUUGUUGCACGCAGUAGGUUAUUUCCCAGGGAAAAAACAAAAAUAUUUUUCUUAUGAGUGUUGCUCUUUCUGCAGGAAUCUCUGCAUAGAAGAUGUCAAUAUGGUGGGCAGGCUGCAGAGAAACCCACAUUGGAACAGCAUCACUGCUGGGCAAGGAGAAAGGACAAGACGUUGAUAAAACAACACUCAGUUCAGUGGGAGCACGGCGCAGUGAAAGACUGGCAGGAAUAGACUCUGUAUCCAAGACCGCUUUAAAACGAGCAGCAGGUACCCUUCUGUUUGCACAACUAUUUCUGCUCCUGCUAGUCUCGAGGCUCCGUGGCCUUGUUUUUUCAUAAACAACUCUUCAAAGUGCUUUUUUUUCCCCCUGCAUUAUCACGUGCCGAAACACCCCCUGACAGCCCGCAGCCAUGCAGGUAUAAUAAGCUUCCCCUCAAUGCCAGCAAGGAGCUGUCCUGGUUGUAGGGAAUUCCUUAGCUAGGUGGAGCUUCACGUGCCCCUUACCACUCAGCUUUACCCCCUGUACCGCUCUCAGAUGGCCCCACUGUUAUUUCAGUGUCUGGCUGCAGGGCUGUGCCUGAUGCCCUGAUGCCCUUUCCUCUGGGUCUGUCACAGGUUCUUGGAUCUGGAAGUAGAAACCACGGAGGAGCCCACAAGGAACAAGCUGGAACUCCCAGCCCUUAAAGCAGUGUGAGGUUUGUUUCCAUGGCCUUGAUAUAUGUCUGUAUACUUUGUUUUUUAAAUUAUGGCUUGGAGGCGAGAGGGGAUAUUCUUACCCCUUGGAACGGUGCCUUGUGUGAUGCAGUGAGUCAAUGUUUGAAUUUCUCAUCCAUUUUCACAUCAUCUUCCUGAGAAGCAGGGCUCACUGUGGCCCUCUGCACAGACACAGGCUUGCUGCAUUGAUUGCUCUGUGGUAGCCAUGCUCUCAGAUGGGAACUUCCCAUUUUCUGGCAUUUAAAAUUCGAGUUUCCGUUCCGGCUGAUGAUAUCUAACACUGGAGCAGUUUAAUUUUUGAAGCGUGGUAGAUCCGUGCUGGCCAGGCAGGUGCUAGCAGAGCACUGGGGGAAGCAGGUGUCUGCUUUUGUGGCUGAACGCCUGGGGAGGAGAGCUGCGUUUCCAAUCGAGGGGAUAAAGCUUUUCCCCAGGGAAAGCCAAGGAGCAAAGUUGGGGAACGCAGCACGCACCAAACGGGAGGGCACGUGAAACCCCACAGCACCGAACGGCGAACGGGGAUGCUUCCCGACCCCCGCC
rnacentral:lncRNA from 1 species